rnacentral:rRNA from 1 species
CCCGUGAACCUUUACUAUAGCUUGACACUGAACAUUGAGCCUUGAUGUGUAGGAUAGGUGGGAGGCUUUGAAGUGUGGACGCCAGUCUGCAUGGAGCCGACCUUGAAAUACCACCCUUUAAUGUUUGAUGUUCUAACGUGGACCCGUGAUCCGGGUUGCGGACAGUGUCUGGUGGGUAGUUUGACUGGGGCGGUCUCCUCCUAAAGAGUAACGGAGGAGCACGAAGGUUGGCUAAUCCUGGUCGGACAUCAGGAGGUUAGUGCAAUGGCAUAAGCCAGCUUGACUGCGAGCGUGACGGCGCGAGCAGGUGCGAAAGCAGGUCAUAGUGAUCCGGUGGUUCUGAAUGGAAGGGCCAUCGCUCAACGGAUAAAAGGUACUCCGGGGAUAACAGGCUGAUACCGCCCAAGAGUUCAUAUCGACGGCGGUGUUUGGCACCUCGAUGUCGGCUCAUCACAUCCUGGGGCUGAAGUAGGUCCCAAGGGUAUGGCUGUUCGCCAUUUAAAGUGGUACGCGAGCUGGGUUUAGAACGUCGUGAGACAGUUCGGUCCCUAUCUGCCGUGGGCGCUGGAGAACUGAGGGGGGCUGCUCCUAGUACGAGAGGACCGGAGUGGACGCAUCACUGGUGUUCGGGUUGUCAUGCCAAUGGCACUGCCCGGUAGCUAAAUGCGGAAGAGAUAAGUGCUGAAAGCAUCUAAGCACGAAACUUGCCCCGAGAUGAGUUCUCCCUGACCCUUUAAGGGUCCUGAAGGAACGUUGAAGACGACGACGUUGAUAGGCCGGGUGUGUAAGCGCAGCGAUGCGUUGAGCUAACCGGUACUAAUGAACCGUGAGGCUUAACCUUACAACGCCGAAG